rnacentral:piRNA from 1 species
ACCCCAAACAUGCAACAGGGCUGGGACC